rnacentral:lncRNA from 1 species
AAAAAAAAACCCACACAAUCACCGGACCUCCUUCAAGGGAUAACCCCACAUCGAAUAAAUAUAAAAAUAAUAAAUAAUAUAAGAACUUGGGCGACUCCUCUAGACAAGGUUGAUGUUUUAAGAAAGAACUCAAGCUUCGAUAUCGUACCAGAGCUCAAGACAAGCAAUUCGUCCAUGUAAAGCUUAAACCAAAACUCAAAUUCCAAGAUUUAUACGAGGACUUGGGCUACUUCCUAUUAACAAGAUGGAACCAAAGCCUUAAUACACCUGACUAGGGCUGGGCAAAUCUCCCGAAUUGAACCGACUGAACGAACCCGAACCCGAACCGAACCGAACCCGACGGUUCUUGUCAAAUUAAAUACCCGAACGGAUAUCUGAAUUGAGAACCGACAGGUACGCUUCGGUUCUCGGUUCUAGACCAAGAACCGAAUCUUUCUAAUUUUUUUUAUAUUGAAUAAAUCAAAUUAUUUUAAUUUUUUCUAAACAAAUUAACAAAUUAACAAUUUCUAAAUCCAAAAUUUUGGCCCAAUUACCCCAUUUUAUUGUCUCAUUUCUUAGCCCAACACGAUCUAACCCACUAAAUAACCCUAAACACCUACACUAAAGUGCAUAACGCUGUCUCGACUCUCGCAGCCUCGCUGACAUUCCAAAACCUAUACAAUUGUCGAUUGACGCUGUGACCUCCGAUCGAAGCUGUGACCUCCGCUAAUCAAAAUUUUGACCGUAGCGAUCAUUUGAACAAGGUAGUCUAGUAGUCUCUGACAUUUCAAAACCAUUGAAUAUGUCAUUAGUUGUAUUUAUGUAAUGUUGUUAUAAAUGUUAAAAAAAUUUAAUUCUAGUACAUAACCGAACGGAACGGAAUAGAACCCGAACGGUUCCAUAAUUAUAUUUGGACCUGACGGUUCUAUUUACUAAAUACCCGAAAAUUUUGGUUCGGUUCGGUUCUCUUUAGAACCGAACCGAAUCGACUCGCACCCACCCCUACACCUGACAAUCGGGUCCCAAAUUCAUGCAUUCGUUCAACCGUAUGUGCCUUGGCAUUUCUC